rnacentral:tmRNA from 1 species
GCUCUUCCAUUCUGGCAUGACCACGCCUAUAUCUGGGCUGUCAGCUUGACUGACUAUGGCGAUAAACGGCCGAUGCAAUAAGCCAUUCGGACCCGGGGGCGGUACCCGGCGCCUCCACCACGAGAUGCCGAAAGCGACAUUUCGUGAUGGGGGCGAAACAGGAUCGACGAGGGUGUAAAGAUCGGACUUUCGCUCGGCAUGAUACCACCGUUAUCGGGUCACAAUUAUAGUUGCCAACGACAACUAUGCUGAGGCUCGUCUCGCUGCCUAAUGGCGGUGCGACUGCUUCGAUCUAAGUCCUGACGGUUAGCCCCGUCAGGCGGGGCCCGGAGGCGCCUGGCAACAGAAGCCUCCACC